UACAUGGGGUGCAAACGUUGUUCGGAAUUACUGGGCGUAAAGCGCGUGUAGGCGGCCCUGCAAGUCGGGUGUGAAAUCCCACGGCUCAACCGUGGAAGUGCACUCGAAACUGCAGGGCUAGAGUCCUGGAGAGGAAGGUGGAAUGCUUGGUGUAGAGGUGAAAUUCGUAGAUAUCAAGCGGAACACCGGUGGCGAAGGCGGCCUUCUGGACAGUGACUGACGCUGAGACGGCGAAAGCGUGGGGAGCAAACAGGA
rnacentral:rRNA from 1 species